CCCUUAGAUGUUCUGGGCCGCACGCGCGCUACACUGAUGCAUUCAACGAGCCUAGCCUUGACCGAGAGGUCCGGGUAAUCUUUGAAACUGCAUCGUGAUGGGGCUAGAUUAUUGCAAUUAUUAAUCUUCAACGAGGAAUGCCUAGUAAGCGUGAUUCAUCAAAUCGCGUUGAUUACGUCCCUGCCCUUUGUACACACCGCCCGUCGCUCCUACCGAUUGAGUGUGUUGGUGAGGAGCUCGGAUUGGCUCUUAGUGGUGGUUCGCCACCACCUAGAGCUGAGAAGUUCUCCAAACCGCCCCACUUAGAGGAAGGAGAAGUCGUAACA
rnacentral:rRNA from 1 species